ensembl:Mt_tRNA
GAGGCCUUAGCUUAAUAAAAGUACCUGUGUUGCAUACAGGAGAUGUGGGUUAGUUUCCCGCAGGUCUUA